rnacentral:piRNA from 1 species
GCGCUAUAGAUUUGGUUUAGUAAAGAC